rnacentral:rRNA from 1 species
UUAACACAUGCAAGUCGAGGGGCAGCAUGGUCUUAGCUUGCUAAGGCCGAUGGCGACCGGCGCACGGGUGAGUAACACGUAUCCAACCUGCCGUCUACUCUUGGACAGCCUUCUGAAAGGAAGAUUAAUACAAGAUGGCAUCAUGAGUCCGCAUGUUCACAUGAUUAAAGGUAUUCCGGUAGACGAUGGGGAUGCGUUCCAUUAGAUAGUAGGCGGGGUAACGGCCCACCUAGUCUUCGAUGGAUAGGGGUUCUGAGAGGAAGGUCCCCCACAUUGGAACUGAGACACGGUCCAAACUCCUACGGGAGGCAGCAGUGAGGAAUAUUGGUCAAUGGGCGAGAGCCUGAACCAGCCAAGUAGCGUGAAGGAUGACUGCCCUAUGGGUUGUAAACUUCUUUUAUAAAGGAAUAAAGUCGGGUAUGGAUACCCGUUUGCAUGUACUUUAUGAAUAAGGAUCGGCUAACUCCGUGCCAGCAGCCGCGGUAAUACGGAGGAUCCGAGCGUUAUCCGGAUUUAUUGGGUUUAAAGGGAGCGUAGAUGGAUGUUUAAGUCAGUUGUGAAAGUUUGCGGCUCAACCGUAAAAUUGCAGUUGAUACUGGAUAUCUUGAGUGCAGUUGAGGUAGGCGGAAUUCGUGGUGUAGCGGUGAAAUGCUUAGAUAUCACGAAGAACUCCGAUUGCGAAGGCAGCCUGCUAAGCUGCAACUGACAUUGAGGCUCGAAAGUGUGGGUAUCAAACAGGAUUAGAUACCCUGGUAGUCCACACGGUAAACGAUGAAUACUCGCUGUUUGCGAUAUACAGCAAGCGGCCAAGCGAAAGCGUUAAGUAUUCCACCUGGGGAGUACGCCGGCAACGGUGAAACUCAAAGGAAUUGAUGGGGGCCCGCACAAGCGGAGGAACAUGUGGUUUAAUUCGAUGAUACGCGAGGAACCUUACCCGGGCUUAAAUUGCAGAUGAAUUACGGUGAAAGCCGUAAGCCGCAAGGCAUCUGUGAAGGUGCUGCAUGGUUGUCGUCAGCUCGUGCCGUGAGGUGUCGGCUUAAGUGCCAUAACGAGCGCAACCCUUGUUGUCAGUUACUAACAGGUUCCGCUGAGGACUCUGACAAGACUGCCAUCGUAAGAUGUGAGGAAGGUGGGGAUGACGUCAAAUCAGCACGGCCCUUACGUCCGGGGCUACACACGUGUUACAAUGGGGGGUACAGAGGGCCGCUACCACGCGAGUGGAUGCCAAUCCCCAAAACCUCUCUCAGUUCGGACUGGAGUCUGCAACCCGACUCCACGAAGCUGGAUUCGCUAGUAAUCGCGCAUCAGCCACGGCGCGGUGAAUACGUUCCCGGGCCUUGUACACACCGCCCGUCAAGCCAUGGGAGCCGGGGGUACCUGAAGUGCGUAACCGCGAGGAGCGCCCUAGGGUAAAACUGGUGACUGGGGCUAAGU